rnacentral:lncRNA from 1 species
GGACAGACACAGCAGCUAAGAAGGACACAUGCCCGUCAACCAAUGUGUCUGGAGCAGUAGCGAACUACCAAGGCUCGUUGGAUCACAAAGGGGCAUUUCCUUGUAAGGAGUGCUACUAAAGUUCACGACUAGGUAAUCGAACCCCAUACAUGUCAAGUACGACACACAUACGCAUGGCAUACCGAUAUGUAUAGAUACAUCGAUGGCAUCACAACAUAACCA